UAAGACUACAACUCCCAGAAGACAGUGCGGCGCGCCUCAGGGCCUGACCAAUGAAAACCUUUGUUCGUCGAGACUCCCACCAAUGAGAGCCUUUUGACUUCGGGCCAAUGGGACAGUCCAUCGGUUGGGCCUCCAGCCACUGGGGGCGCUCCUGCCACAGACCCGGGCGAGGCGGUGUUGGGUCCGCAGCGGCGGCUGGCUGCUGCCAGCGGCUGUGGGCUGCGGCGCGAGGCGGGGUGUUGGGCGACUGGGCGUCUCUCGUUCCCCGCGGAGGGGAGCGGAAGGGCUGCCGAAGGACCCGGGUCUUGGGGGGGAUCGUCCUCCCAACCUAGCCGCUGGGGACUCGCGUCUGCGCGCGCCGCGGCGCCUUGACGGCCCUCGGGCCGGCCGCGCUCCCAAGCUUUGCUGCGGAGGCCCCGCUUGAGGAUGCCCGUCUGUCCUCACUGGUGGGGCUGCGCUGCGUUGAAACCGGGGCCCCAGCGUCCUGGCUGGCGGUGCUUUGCUCUUCCGAGCAUAUACCGCCGUUGUACCUAGAACCUCUGUCUGCGCACCGGAACCACAAGAACAUUUAAGCGAUUUGGAACAUUCUAGGAAUGGAAAGGCCCAGUGGGGAGUGACAGACAACAAACCAGGAACAGGGUAAAAGGGCAAGCGACAGUGGUCACCGGCUGGGAUGGAGCGACUGGCAGAGUUCACACUCUCUCCCAUCUCUGUCCUCUCCUCCCCGCCUCUCUCUCCCCACCGCCCCCAACUCCUCCGCCCGAGAACAGCGACCAGUCUGCUCUCUGCUGGACCUCUUCCCCUGCCGCUCCACCCCAGGACACAUCGCUACAAGGGCAGCAGUACCAGGAUGAGAAUUUUUCAGGCAUCUUCAGCAGUGGCUGCUGUGGGAACCAUGAAUCGGGCAGGCUCCAGAGACUGAAUUUGGCCGCUACUGGGUACCAACAAAAUUUCUGAGCAGUAUUCCUUUCUGGGGGGGCGGAGAAGGUCCCAGGAGGAACUGUUGCCUUCCCCUUAGUGUAACGGCCUAUUUAGCCAGAGCAAUUCCAUCCGGUAAAACGGUGAUUUUGUUGUUUAUACAGUAAAACUUAAACUGACCCUGCCCCCCCCCCCCCACUUACUUAGAAGCAAGUCCGGGAGACCAGUCCCAGGUAACAGAGCCCAAAUACAAGGGCUCAGGCCAGGUGGAGAUAUCCAAUCAGUGGAGCACCCAUACUGUCUCCCUAGCUACCAAGGAGUGUGGGCCCCGCCUUUUGGGAGCCUUUUGGGGGCCAAUUCUGACCAAGGUGAUAGGCUAGUUCAAAUAUCUACUAUAGGGUAAAUUGUAAUUCAAUUAGCCCCCCGUGUGUGACCUAGCAUGACUGUGCAGCUUUUUCUGUGUGUUACAAUCUCACUGGCCACCUGUGUGUGGCCAGGCUCAACCACAUGGUCUUUGUCCUUUGAAAGGUCGUCUGUAAGGCUGGAAGGGGUCGCUCUCUCUGUAAGAGGCGGCCUGGAUCGGUCAGUUUGAUUAUUGAUGCUUGGCACAAAAUAAAGCUUUGCUUGACCUUC